CGGGGCGUAGCUCAGUCUGGUAGAGUGUCUGCUUUGGGAGCAGAAAGUCGUUGGUUCGAAUCCAGCCGCCCCGACCA
rnacentral:tRNA from 1 species